rnacentral:rRNA from 1 species
GACGAACGCUGGCGGCGUGCUUAACACAUGCAAGUCGAGCGGUAAGGCCCUUUCGGGGGUACACGAGCGGCGAACGGGUGAGUAACACGUGGGUGACCUGCCCUCAGCUCUGGGAUAAGCCUGGGAAACCGGGUCUAAUACUGGAUAUGACUCCAUGACGCAUGUUGUGGGGUGGAAAGCCUUGUGCGGCUGAGGAUGGGCCCGCGGCCUAUCAACUUGUUGGUGGGGUGAUGGCCUACCAAGGCGACGACGGGUAGCCGGCCUGAGAGGGCGACCGGCCACACUGGGACUGAGACACGGCCCAGACUCCUACGGGAGGCAGCAGUGGGGAAUCUUGCGCAAUGGGCGAAAGCCUGACGCAGCGACGCCGCGUGAGGGAUGACGGCCUGGUG